GGUCCGGUGGUGUAGUGGAAUAUCACAUCGUUCUUAUAUUGGAGUGCUUUCAGCUCCAGAUAUGCGAGGGUCCUGGGUUCGAACCCCAGUCGGACCA
rnacentral:tRNA from 2 species